GUACCUACGGGAGGCAGCAGUAGGGAAUCUUCGUCAAUGGGCGCAAGCCUGAACGAGCAAUGCCGCGUGAACGAGGAAGGUCUUCGGAUCGUAAAGUUCUGUUGACGGGGAAAAAAGACCGGUAAAGAAAAUGAUUCCGGAGGAGAUAUUACCCGUCGAGGAAGCCACGGCUAACUACGUGCCAGCAGCCGCGGUAAUACGUAGGUGGCGAGCGUUAUCCGGAAUGAUUGGGCGUAAAGG
rnacentral:rRNA from 1 species